AUGGACGGAAGUCUGACCGAGCAACGCCGCGUGAGUGAAGAAGGUUUUCGGAUCGUAAAGCUCUGUUGUAAGAGAAGAACGAGUGUGAGAGUGGAGAGUUCACACUGUGACGGUAUCUUACCAGAAAGGGACGGCUAACUACGUGCCAGCAGCCGCGGUAAUACGUAGGUCCCGAGCGUUGUCCGGAUUUAUUGGGCGUAAAGCGAGCGCAGGCGGUUAGAUAAGUCUGAAGUUAAAGGCUGUGGCUUAACCAUAGUACGCUUUGGAAACUGUUUAACUUGAGUGCAAGAGGGGAGAGUGGAAUUCCAUGUGUAGCGGUGAAAUGCGUAGAUAUAUGGAGGAACACCGGUGGCGAAAGCGGCUCUCUGGCUUGUAACUGACGCUGAGGCUCGAAAGCGUGGGGAGCAAACAGGAUUAGAUACCCUGGUAGUCCACGCCGUAAACGAUGAGUGCUAGGUGUUAGACCCUUUUCCGGGGUUUAGUGCCGCAGCUAACGCAUUAAGCACUCCGCCUGGGGA
rnacentral:rRNA from 1 species